AAGAGGGUGACAGAAUGGCAGAUGUGUCUGGCUUGAAACCAGUUGAUGGAGGUUCGAUUCCUUCCUCUCUUU
rnacentral:tRNA from 1 species